ensembl:lncRNA
AAAAAAUAGUGACAUCUGAGUGAAAGGAAGUGGUCUCACUAUUAUCACAGUAUCAUAGGCCCAUAGGAUAAUUUGGACUGGAAGGAACCUUGUGGUGUGAGUACAGGAAAGAAGGCUGUGUAGUGGUAGAAGACCACUUUAGGAAGGAACACUCUCUGGUGCCCAGGGACACCACUUCAGCAGUUUUGGUUUUGGAUUGCCAGGGCUGGCAGAUUGCACGUAAACCAUCCUGCUAAUGUCUUGCUAACCCCACGCUGUACACACCCAUGUAAUUUCCUAAAGAUUUCAUUUAUAACUUUGGUAAUGAUAAAUUAUGAAAAUAAAUUAUGCAGUAUGUGGGAAAAAUACUUCCUUUUGUUGGCUUUAAGCACAGAGUCUAAGCUGUCCCUUAGCUCCCGUGCAACACGAAGCAGUGGAAACAGCACGUAGUAAUUCCCUGUCACCCUCUUUCUACCUUAUGCAGUUUUCAUAGAUCUCCAUCAAAGCAGCUCUCAAGCUUUUCUUUCCUGAUGAACUUUUCUUGGGAUGCAUUUCAUAUGUUCAUCUGUCUCUUAUCCCCUUCCCAUGUGUCUCUCCCACAAACACCAGCCUGAGAACUGUUUACAAAAUAGUCCACAGAUCUCCUGGCAGACUCCGAAGCUAAACACAGUCCCCAGCCAAAGUCUGUGUUUUGGAAACUGUUUCUUUGUAUGGAUGUAAUUCAUUUGGCAACACUACUUAGGCAUGGAUGGCUGAUGGACCAAUACAAGUCAUUGGCUACAGAGAAGGUUAAUCAGAGAAAUGUUCUCAUUAACCUGAAUCUGAUUCUCCUCUUCAUUACUGAAAACUAGAUCAUUUUCACUAUGCAGGAGAGAUCAAGACUAAAGGAGCCCAGGGUGUCCUCUAUUUGCAGCCACUGGACUUUACUGCAAGAUUCAUGCUGUAGAGAGAGCUGGAAGCAGUACUAACAAUUUAUCUGGAGAAACCAAGAGCACCACCCAGUUACAGGCAGUUGGCCACAUGAAGAUCUAGGUUAAAACUACCUUGGCUGGAGAAGAGGGUGGAAGCAAGGCUACCACAGCAAAAGAUGUGUCCUUGCUGCUCCUAGAAAGGAAGGAAAGCAUGAAGGCAUCUGCAGCCUCUUGGGGCUGGGAAGGGACUUUCAUCCCCAGCCCUUUCGUGUCUGUGAGGUAAGAGGGCUCCUCUGGUGACUUUCCUAGAUCCCAUCCAGAGGCAUGUGGGUUCAUUUGUUCAACAGAAAGCCCAGGUACACAACCCAGGGCUGGGCAUUUCAGCAACUGCCAAGAUCGUGGCUUCAUCCCAUGUGACAGUCAGCCUGACUCGUUCUCCAGAGACUUCCAAUGACUUCAGAGGAGCAUAGCAAGGUUAUGCUCCUGGCUAAGGUUCCCAAAGUCAGUGGGAUGAAGCUGGAUAAAAGUGCUAAAAGUUCAAAACUGCAACAUUCGCUAUUGCAACAUCUAAAGCUUUUUAUGGACUGAUCUGCUGGGGAAAUUCUGGUUAGGUAAACGCAGUGGUGUUUUACAAUUGACUCUAAUGGCCCUAGAAGUCAUUUAAAGAAUUCUGUACAAAAGCUAAUGCUGCUACUCUAGGUAUUAACUGGCUUUGGUCUGAUAAUAUUGAGAGAUCAAAGCCACCCCUAAGUCUUGCUGUAAUGAAAGAUAGGUUUCAACUGUUCCUUAAAAGCAGUGAAUCUUUUCAGUUCUUUUUCUUCUAAAAGCUCUUUCUAUUAGACGUAUUUUGAUAGAGAGAUGUAUUUCUAUUAGAUGUAUUUCAAAAAUAGGAAAUGUCCCUAUUUUUUUUUUUCCACUAAAUGCUCCUAUCUGUAUGUUAAAAAAACCUAGCAGGCUUGCAGGUACUGAAAAAAAAAAAGCCCUCAAGGGAACAGCAUUUUGAAAUGGAACAGGAUUUAAAGUGAGAAUUCAUGAAUAUCUCUUUUGCUGGACGUGACAGCAAAUCUUGCAGAGAUCUGUGGUGCAGAGAUCUGUGGUGCACAUAUCAGCACAGUCCAGGUGGGAGACAGCCGUGACUGCACAGCCCUCUGCACUCUACAAUGGUGGAGAAGGAGGGCAGCACUCAGACCAGUAACUGUGAGCCCAGCCCAGCUCUGAGGUGAGGAAGAUGAGGGUACUCCAGUACAGGUGGUGCAGGUAAAGGUGCAGAGGCCUGUGACUGGAGAGCAGGCUGUCCACAACAGCUCCUAAACUACGGUCCUGCUCCAUGAAACUGGGGCACUCUCAGCUUUUUGGCUUGGUUCUUAAUGAAGGAAUUCAGGAUUGUGGGAACCUCUUUGAGCUCAGCACUAGCACACGUAUCACUAGCCAUCUGUUUUGCCUUUUGAUGGUUAGUUCUUUAUUAAUGUUGACUCUGCAGGUGUCUUCUGAAUACAAAUCACUGUACUGCACUGUGUAUCUCUAAGACAAAAAGCAAUUACAGGCACUGCCAACUUGAAAACAUCUAUCCUAAAGAAGGUCUUGCAGGUCCAGGGCAUGAAGUGUAGCUGUGAGACAGACCAAUGAAGAGUUAUUCCAGCGCUCCCCUGUUAUGUAGCUUAGCUCAGUUCACUUCGUCUGACCAUGCCUUCAUCUCACUCUCUCUACACAGUAUCCUUAAGCCAAUGGAUGACAAAAGUCCCAGGAGCUGACAACUACCAGCUGCCCUAGGUCCAUACUCCAGCACAGCACAGACUAUGGGGUGGUAGGAAGUAUGGCACCACACAAGAUUCUGGUCUAAAUUUGUCUCCCUGAUUGAAAGUCACUAAGGCCCAAGAAUGUACAACGAGAUAGUUGAUUGUUCUACUUAACAGAACUUUGGUUGUAUUGUCAUCGGGUUCCUUUCUGUCACUGAGCAGCUGGACAAAGCAGUGCCCUGCCACACAAACAUACAUCAGCUGAAAGCCUGGAAAUACUUCUAUGUAGAGAUGGAGGGAACACAGCUGCUUGAUACAGAAAGCAGAUGAAAAGGUAAAUGUGUGAAUAGAGUUUAUGUGGAGCGGAGGAGGCACAAAAUAGUGAAUGUCAUAGAAAAACAAGGUCUCCUAUUUGUUCCUCUGCAUAAUGCCAAAACAAGACAAUUUUAAAUGGGAGAGAAAAGCAGCACAUCCUGAGUGGUGCAUUAUUAAUUUACAGUAUUAACCGAUGCAUCAAAAUGAAGGAUUUAAUAAAAAGACAAGUAAAGAAAUGUCUUUGUAUGGAGAACAAGAAAAACCUAAACCCUGCUGACAGCACCAAGUGACAAAAAAACAUGACCCUAACCAACUGCUAGUGGGUUUCUUGUCUCUUCACUUUAGCAAUGAUCUGAACAAGAGUUUAAGAUGGUCAGAUCAACUCUCUGGUCAGGUGUUACAGUUCUGUACAGAUGGCUUUAGGCAUGAAGUUCCUAAAAUGCUCCACGUUUACAGCACAAUGACACUGUUUGGUAGAGCAAAACACUAUUCUUCAACAUAGUCAUCACCAUUAGAUGUGCAUUUUUGCCAGCGAUGAACAAGUGCCUGCAUGACUCCUCACUUGCAAAAAAUCUGCACCAUCAGAAGUGCCCCACUGUCACUGCUGAAACGCACCACCCACUGCCUCACUGCGCUCACAGCCACUGUUCGGUCUCCAUCAUGUUCAUUAAAUGUUGAUGAAUGUCAAUGGGUGCGAUUUUUUCCAUAUGGAGGAAUUCAGUGACACACCUUUCCUUCAUACACGCUUCCAUGUCAGACGUCAUUGUGUCAGACUGCCCCUCUGCUGCCAUCAGUCACAUGGCAACAACAUGGAAUGGAAUAUUGGUGGGAAGGUUCAGCCUCUCUUGCUGUGCCACCAACAUCUGCCUCUGAUGUCAUGGGCCAACAUAAUAAAAUAGGAGGAAUUACUUCUGUAGCAGCCAUUGUAUGUUUCACAAGACUUCAGCUGCAUGCACUACUGUUGUCAAUAACUUGUGGGUUUUUUUUUGUAGCCUGAGCAACAGCAAGGAAACUGAAUUUGGCCAGAAACCAAACUGAAGAGGAGUACAUUCAUUCCUGGAGUGACUCUACUGACCUCCCUAGAGCUGCUCCAGAGUUCAGGCCAGCCUUGACCUGCUUUUCUGCAAAUUGUGUGGCUGGGGAAAUGCUGUUCCAUCCAUCUUUGCUCAAAGUAAUAACAAGAGAAUUCAGAAGGGUUCAGGGAAGGGUGACAAACAUGACUAGAGCAGAAGAAAGCUCUCAUAUCAAGGGAGAUUGAUAAGGUUGCAGUUGCUUCUCUUAGAAAUGAGACAAAUGAAAAGGAGACGUAAAAAAAGGAGACAAAAUAAUAAAUAGUCUAGGAGAACUCAUCCACACACCCUUUGUGAUCUGCUAAAGGGCUUCUAGAGGUCCAUGGCAAUGUAAUCAAAUUAAGGCCCUGCUACCUGUCUCUCCUCUCUGGCUGGCUGCACUGCUGGGCUCUCUGCUUGAGUCUCUUUUUGACUGUUGGGGUAUAAAGACUGAAAACCAGUACAGUACUAUACGGCAGACAACAAAUGACAUUUGAAGCGAUUGUGCUUUGCAGCAAGACUUUCACCAGGUUCAACCUAACUCCUACCUUCAACUCCUUGAGUUCAAAACCAGCAAUGCACUGCUUGGAAGAGAAACUUGUGCAAAUAAUUUCAUGUCACACAGUGGACUAUGUUUUUAAAAGGGCUCUUCCUGUGCUCUUCUGUCUUAGUUACAUCUCUGCACAAGCCAUUCCUAUGGCUGAAAAGACCACAUGCAUUUUUUUUUUUAAUCAUUUAUGGACUAAUGUAACACCGGAGUCAUCAAAGCUUGAAAGCCACAAAGAUAAACAGGCUAAAAUACAUUACAUGUCUUGAGCUGUCCUAGCAGUUCGUUGCUUCCACUGAAUGAAGCACUUUGCAUCCUGCCAUUCCUACCGCUGGUAUUUAUUUGCCUUGGGCUCUGCUGAGCUGAUGUGGUCACACUGCAGUCAGAAACAUAACAUGACAAAAAAACAGGAACACUCAUCUGCUUGGAUGGUGAUCUGAGCCAACUGACUGUCACUGCAGCAAGUGACAAUUGGGUUCCACUUUUAGAUGUGAGACACUCAGCUUAGUUUCUUUUUCUUUCUUCUUCUCUUUUUCUUUCUUUCUCUUUUUCUUUUUCUUUUUCUUUUCCUUUUCCUUUUUUCUUUUUCUUUCUUUUUCUUUUUCUUUCUUUUCCUUUUCCUUUUCCUUUUCCAUUUCCUUUUCCUUUUCCUUUUCCUUUUUCCUUUUCCUUUUCCUUUUCCUUUUCCUUUUCCUUUUUCUUUUCUUUUUCUUUUUCUUUUCUUUUUCUUUCUUUUCCUUUUCCUUUUCCUUUUCCUUUUCCUUUUUCUUUUUCUUUUUCUUUUUCUUUUUCUUUUUCUUUUUCUUUUUCUUUUUUUUUCUUUUUCUUUUUCUUUUUUUUCUUUUUCUUUUUCUUUUUUUUUUUCUUUUUCUUUUUCUUUCUUUUUCUUUUUCUUCUUUUUCUUUUUCUUUUCUCUUUCUCUUUCUUUUUCUUUUUUCUUGUUUUUUUUUU